GUCCACCUGUAAGAUUCGGCUGAGGCUCUUCUGCCUGGAAAAGCCCCAGCCCAGCUCCCAGGCGCCGCCCGGCCGCAGCUUAGCCCGCGGAACCGCAUUUCUUACUUUUUUCUUUAAACAAGUCUAUCUCCUUUCCGGACAGUUAGCAGCUUGAAGACGGGGGCUGUGUUCUAUCUCUGUGUGUCACCCUGGGGCUCAGCCGGCCACCUGGUAGGCGGUGAGCGCUGAGCGGAUGGAGAGUGAUGAAGAGGGGAGGGGCUGGGGGAAUGAAUGAACGAACGAACGAAUGAAUGAAUGAAAUGUCAUGCUAACCACCCUGACUGGAGUGACGUAAGGACGUUCGGGAGCGUGGAAGCUCUUCCCGGUCCCUAUCUGACCGUCCUCACAACCGGGUCGUGGCCGUCCUUGGGCCGGGUGGUUCCGGGCGACAGGCAGACAGCAGCAGCAAGAGAGCAGAAUGUGGAACCUGUCUGUCCUCUGCGCCAGGACCCGUAGCUGCGGGCGGACCAGGAUUAAACCAGCUCGUCGGUAACAGCUCCGUGCUCCCCGCCAGGGCCACGGGCCGUGUGACUUCCCCGCCUCUGGACCAGUGAUUUUCUUUUAGGAGACAAAUCUCAGCCACUGCUUCUCAUGUAAACCAUCGGUUGUCCGCCUGUCACGUUUAAGCGUGUGCUGUUGGCUUGUCACACACCCGCACGCCCUCUACCAGUGACACCGGUCUGCAUCGACACGUGCCUGUGCUUUGUCCAACGGACGCUCCCUGAGCCCUGGAAGGUACGGUCGGUGGGUGUCUGCAUCAUUUCCUUCUCUGGGCAGAACAGAACACCAACACGAAGAAAACUCCAGAACAGGAUGUGGCCUUGAACGGCACCCACCGAGAGCUGUUUCCCCAGUUACUUAGCCUUGAAGCCUGCCCGCUCGGGAGGAGGAUUGAAGUGGUCAGUCCAUCCCAGCUCUGCUAUUCGUUGGCUGGGUCACGUUGGGCCAGUUACUUACCUCCUCUGGGCCUCGGCAUUGUCAGCUGCCAGACUGAGAUAAUGACGACACCCACACAGAGACCGUGUGCGGAACUCUCUCUGACGGUUCUCGAACGCGGAUCGCAGCAUCUGGGUUUGUCUGGCAGUGACCCCGGCUUUUCCUCCGUUCACCCCAGCGUUCAAUCCGGGCGCAAAAGACCCCUCCAGGACACUGUCCUUGAGAGGUUGGGGUCAGGCCUCCAAACCCACAUCUUUCCGUGAGAGAGGUCUCGUUCACCCCUGCCCCUAACCGCCUUGGACCUUAUUUGCUUUUUCAAGCCAGACGGCAUGAACAUGAGAUUAGAUGGCAACCGGCCAAGCAGCGCCCGGUCUGAGGCACACCCACGGCCCGGGAGCAUCGAGAACACGCAAAGCCCAAGGACUCUCGGCAGAUAUUUAUUAAAUGCAUCACGCUGAUGGCACAGGCCUUGACUGCAGCUCUCUCUGGAAAAAUCAUUAUUAUUUCCCCAGCCGAUCUUGCCAGAAUUAGGAUGCCUGCCUCCUCGGGGCCAGGCCAGCUCUAAUUCUCUCGGUGGGAAGGAGACAGAGCCACAGACACCCCGGGGUACAGCCCACAGCUCCUGUCCCUCGAUGUCCCGUGAGCACACUGCCGAGCAAAGUCCAGGUUGACUCGCACCACGCCUGUCCUCUGUCUGAAGGGAGCCUUCGAGCACCCAGCCUGUCCUGGACCCCAUGGCAGGGGCCACUUUCAUUGCCCUGGAAGAGACCACAGCACAGCUGUCCACCCCUUGCUGGGCCAUGGGCACAGGGUGGGGGGAGCACAGUGGUUCUGCUCAGUUUCUAAAACUGUCAGGCCUUUGGUACUAAUCGUGAUCUUCCAUUACCCUUUUCAAGAGACUGAGUGACAAGCCUCCUCCUAAUUUAAAAAAAAAUAAUAAUAACAUUUAUUUCUGAGAGAGAGACACAGUGCGAGCAGGGGAGGGGCAGAGAGAGAGAGGGAGACACAGAAUCCAAAGCGGGCUCCGGGCUCUGAGCAGUCGGCACAGAGCCCGACGCAGGGAUCGAACUUAGAAAUUGCAAGAUCAUGAGCUGAGCCGAGGUCGGACGCUUCACCGACUGGGCCACCCGGGCCCCAAACCUCCUCUUUGUUUUAAAGAAACGUAAGACACGAACAAGCAGAUUGUUUAUCUUAAGACUCAGUGAGGCUUUGUCCCCAGGAUGUACAUCACUGUUAGGACAGCAGAGGGAAUCUUGGGAAAGAAACCCCUGGGGAAAGUGAUCCAAAACCAGAUGCUGAAAGUAGGUUGAAAGCAGCAAAGUGUGAGGUUCCAGGGACACAACGGUAGACAAGGGAGGUCCAACCGAAGAGCUGGUGUCCCCACAGUUGGGCAGAUCCUGGAGGCCCAGGGCCAGCGGUCACCCCAAGGAAGCCAGUCAGAAGAAGCAAGACUCGGCCACACGUCUAGGGUGAGAAGAGGCAAAGCUGCAGCUCAGAGCCUCGAGGACCCUAGGCCUGCCACACAACAGGGUCCCAACCCUGCUGCAGGAUUGGGCCCCAAUGUCAGGGUAGAGGGGCUACCAAAAGACCUUGUGCUGAGACCAAGUCCACUAGGACUUUUCCAACUGCAAGGAACAGAACCCCACCAUGACCUAGGGGAGCCCAGGAUGCUAGGCUAUCCGUGGAAGCCAAGAGCAGAGUUGAUGCUGGACCCAGGAACCUAAACUGGAAAUAGAAUCAUGGAGGAGCUUCAACACCACCCCCUUGGGUCCUUGUCUCUGCUUCCGUCUGCAAUUUGCUUCAUUUCUCUCUUUUGGAUCCGCUUUCUCUGUCUCUCAGACCCCAUAGCUGCAAAUGGAAGUGGCCAACAACGUCCACACCACGGUUAGCCGCCCAGAGAAAGAGAGACUGAGUUUUCUGUCAGGCCCGGUGGUAAGCUCCUUUGUGAGGGGAUGGCUCAGAUUUUGUAGUUUGCCCACCCCGGGGGCUAAGUGACUUUAGAAGGAAGCCUGGUUGCAUUGUUAAAAACAUGGCAGCCUCUGGGGCGCCUGGGUGGCUCAGUGGGUUGAGCAUCCGGCUUUGGCUCAGCUCAUGAUCUCGCGGUUCGUGGGUUCAAGCCCUGCGUUGGGCUCUGUGCUGGUGGCUGAGAGCCUGUGGCCUGCUUCGGAUUCUGUGUCUCCCUCUCUCUCUCUCUGCCCCUCCCCUGCUUCUGCUCUGUCUCUCUCUAAAAUAAAUAAACAUUAAAAAAAAGGUUUUUAAACAUGGCGGCCUCCAGGGAUAGAUGGAUGGAUAGAUGGAUGGAUGGAUGGAUGGAUGGAUGGAUGGAUGGAGUGUGGGCGUGGCAGUUCCCCAGAAGACUGAGAAGACCACCCAACAGAAUACGGUCCAGAGGGGGUCUACUGAGGCAGGCUGCAGAAUUAGGGGACUUUGUUAUAUGUCUCGGCUUCAGGGCUGCUUCUUUGGGGCUAUUCUGACAAAGCCUGAGACGGGUUGUCACUGGGCAUGUGAUUGAUAAAGGGUCUGAUUGACAACCAAAGCCUGUAACUCAAGAGACAAAUGUGAAGCCCAGGGGUGAGGAUUAGGCGCUGACUUCUCUUAGGACCAGGACUUCUUGACAUCCCUGCUCUCGCCAGUUAGGUGAACACAUCAGGAAUGGCCCUGUCAUGUGCCUCUGUGCUCGGCGCUUGGCACUCAGCACUGCCUGGGCUCUCCUGGGAGAGAGUGGGGGGGGGGCUUCUCCCUCUGGGGUGGAAACAGCCUGAGAGGCAGGCAGUGGGCAAGGUUUGCUGGGGGGGAGGGGUUGGAAAGAAUCCAGCGAACGGGGGCAGAGAGGAGAGCCGCGCAGGCAAGACCUGUCCCCCCCCAGAGCCCAGCUGGGAGAAGGUUCCAGGGAGGCUGGAGGCAUGCCUGCAGAGAGCAGGGAGAGCCACACUACCAGGUGGCUUGGCCCCUGUGACCAGCUUUGUCCCCAGCACCCCAUUCCCGGGUUGCAUCCCUACAUUACGAGGGGCAAACGGCUCGGCCCUGAGAGGUAGCCACUCAUUCAUUCAUUCGCCAUUGAACUAACAUUUUUUAAUUCACGUAUACAUCAAGCUCUGUGCUCUAGCGAGCAUUCUGGGAUGAAGUCGGAUGAGACAGCCACAGAAGCCUUAACACAAUCCAUACUUUAAGAUGAAUUCCUCUGCAGCCUUUGGUGACAGCGCUCUGUCUGUGAAUGUAGCACCAGACAGGGGAGAGCGGUGUCCAGGCAAAAGCUUCAGGAACUCCCGCUCGGGCUAGGAGUUCACGUCAAGACAACGUCUCUCCAAUGUUUUGCACCGAAGCCUGACUCAGCAUUUCAUUGAGUCAGAAGUGGCUUCUCGUUUUUUAAAUAGAGGUUUCCGGUCUUCCUGGACAUUCAGAGCUAAGUUCUUCACUGAACCUUAACGAGAUUCUGAAUCGCGGUUUUCAUUUUGCUUGGACGACUACUUGUGUUGCCGCGAUACCGCUCUGAGAGUUUUUACGUCGGUGCAAACCAGAAAUGGCUAAGUGCACGCAGCAGAGAAGGUAAGUCAGGCAGAGAAGAUCCGUACCAGACCGCCGAUAGCACUGAAGGGUCAUCAAAAAGUGUGGCUGUAAAAAAAAAAAAGAGUGUUCUCAACAACAGCCAAAUUAUGGAAAGAGCCUAAAUGUCCGUCAACUGAUGAAUGGAUAAAGAAAUUGUGGUUUCUAUACACAAUGGAGUACUACGUGGCAGUGAGAAAGAAUGAAAUAUGGCCCUUUGUAGCAACGUGGAUGGAACUGGAGAGUGUGAUGCUAAGUGAAAUAAGCCAUACAGAGAAAGACAGAUUCCGUAUGGUUUCACUCUUAUGUGGAUCCUGAGAAACUUAACAGAAACCCAUGGGGGAGGGGAAGGAAAAAAAAAAGAGGGUAGAGUGGGUGAGAGCCAAAGCAUAAGAGACUCUUAAAAACUGAGAACAAACU